UACGUAGGGUGCGAGCGUUAAUCGGAAUUACUGGGCGUAAAGCGUGCGCAGGCGGUUCGUUGUGUCGGCGGUGAAAGCCCCCGGGCUUAACCUGGGAAUGGCCGUUGAAACUGGCGAACUGGAGUGUGGCAGAGGGAGGUGGAAUUCCACGUGUAGCAGUGAAAUGCGUAGAGAUGUGGAGGAACACCGAUGGCGAAGGCAGCCCCCUGGGUCAAGACUGACGCUCAUGCACGAAAGCGUGGGGAGCAAACAGG
rnacentral:rRNA from 1 species